GACGAACGCUGGCGGCGUGCUUAACACAUGCAAGUCGAACGAUGAAGUUCCUUCGGGAAUGGAUUAGUGGCGAACGGGUGAGAAACACGUGAGAAACCUGCCUUUCAUUUUGGGAUAACUCCGGGAAACCGGAGCUAACACCGAAUACUCCGUCUCGGCGGCAUCGCUGAGCCGGGAAAAAAUUUUGAUGAAAGAUGGUCUCGCGGCCUAUCAGCUAGUUGGUGAGGUAAUGGCUCACCAAGGCGACGACGGGUAGCCGGCCUGAGAGGGCGACCGGCCACACGGGGACUGAGACACGGCCCAGACUCCUACGGGAGGCAGCAGUGGGGAAUAUUGGGCAAUGGGCGCAAGCCUGACUCAGCGACGCCGCGUGAGGGGUGAAGGCCUUCGGGUUGUAAACCUCUUUCAGUAGGGAAGAAGCGAAAGUGACGGUACCUAAAGAAGAAGCACCGGCUAACUAUGUGCCAGCCGCCGCCGUAA
rnacentral:rRNA from 1 species